rnacentral:misc_RNA from 1 species
CAGAGUUGCAAAACUCCCACAAACCAUCGCGAAUCUUACCCGUACGGUUGCCUCGGCGCUGGCGGUCCGGAAGGCCCUCGGGCCCCCCGGAUCCUCGGGUCUCCCGCUCGCGGGAGGCUGCCCGCCGGAGUGCCGAAACCAAACUCUUGAUAUUUUAUGUCUCUCUGAGUGAACUUUUAAAUAAAUCA